rnacentral:lncRNA from 1 species
CUCUGAAGUUGGGAAGGCCCUGCAGAGUUAUACAGAGACAAAAGACGAGGCAACAGGAUGAGGGCUGUCCUGGGAGGGGGCACAACUUUGGGCAAAGCGGCUCUUUUCAGCCAGGAAUGCAAAUAUGAAGCUGGCAGUCGUCUAGCCAUCUGGAGCUCAUGUGGCAACCAAGGGGAAGAAAGCUUUACUCCAGGGAUGCGGAAAGAGAGCUGGACGCAGCAGCUGGGUAUUUAUGUGAGUAAGACAAGACCAUAAUUAGUCAAGCCACUCCUGUGGCUGGGUUUCUGUUGUUUGCAGCAUGAAGAUGCGGUGGAAGUCACAUGGAGAGAAGUCUGACAGGCAUCAAAACAGGCUUGGAGACUCCUGGGAGGUUCAGUGACCAGUCUCGUCCAAGGAACUGAAGACCUAAAGCAAUGUUGCCUGAAGAGACCUACACAACUUCCCGGAGGAAGGGGAUGCUUCACAGAUCGUGGAGGCUAUACACACAACCAGGACCAAGAUACAGCUCAGAAACUGGUGGGCUCUUAUCCUUUCAUUGCUGUUCACCUCACCCGGGGUCACUGGAUAAUGUCCAAGUUGUCGUAACUAACACAUGUAGAUCAACAAAUAAUGGGAGAGAGUGGGUAAGUGGCUGGGCUGCCGAAAUCGCACCUGAAGGAGUAGAUGUCAUUCAGAGCAUCCUACACAGGGUCCAACCGGCUGUGCUGACCCAGGUUCCUGAUUCUGUCCACACAGCACAGUCCAGUGGGUGGGGCCUGAUGGUAAAAGUACAGACGCUACCUAAAUCUGCAUUCAAAAUCCAGAUGAUCUGUCCUUUGGGGCCAUGCUGCGGAUCAGGAGUAUAAAGAAGGCUGAGGCCACCCAGAGCAAGGGGAGAGGAUCCUCUGCAGCUCGGCAGGAUUUCAAGCCCCACAAAGAUGAACUAGAGUUCACAGUGGGUACUAGCAAGCCAGAGUCAGAAAUCACUGCUCCAGAGACCAAAAGGGUGCCAGAGUUUCUCUUUCCUCUACAACGAAGAUGACCUGAUAUGAGGUAUAAGACUAGAAUUCGAAGACAUCCUAUCUUAGGCGGGGUAGGGUGUUGAAACAAGGUGCAUAUGCUUUCUCCUUUACGCUGUUAUUUUUUAAAGUGUGCUGAAAGCAGAGUUACAAUCUGAUUGUUAAUCUAGCACAGUUUGCUUUGCUGGAAACACUCAUUUUGAGGGGAAACCUGCUAUCCGCGGUACCUUAUCUCAUCAAGGUGUGACUUUCGACACAUGUUUCUAUUGGGUUGUUUUCGUCUUUUUCUUGCAAAUUUGAAAGAACUCUCUCUGUUAUAGAUAUCAAUACUGUAUUGACUAUCCUUGUUGCAAGUAUUUUUUUCAAACAAUUAUUUUUAUAUUGGCUUUUCUAGGGUCUGUUUUAUUCUACAAAAAUUUGAAAAAUUUAUGUAAUCAAAUGUGUUUAUCUUUUAUAGCUUCUGGAUUCUUUUGUCACUAUCGCUAGUAUAAGGAAAAGCUACUGAUUUUUUUGUGUUAGGAGUUUUUUCUCUUGGGUGUUCUAGAUAUACGAACAUGUAAAGUUUUGCUGAUUAUUUCUCUUUUUGUACUCACUGUGCUUGUUAGACCCUCUAAGAUAAUAUUAAAUUAUAAUGGUGGUGGCAGUCUGCUAUAUAUGGUUCCUGAACCUAACUGGUUUAGUUUUAAUAUUUUACCAUUUGGGGUGGUAUUUUUAGAGGAUUUUGGUAGCAAAUUUGAUCACAAAUAGUUCCACAAUUUCCUCUAUUUUGGAAAUAAUUGCUGCUAUUUUAUCAAAUAAUUGUUCAGUAUUUAUUAAUGCAAUCAUUUUGGUUUUGUUCUUUAAUUUGUUAAUCUAAUGCAUUAAGAGAAUAGAGUUCUAAUAUGGACCACCUUUUUGUGUUUAGAUAACAUCACUUGACCAUAAUCUAUUACUCUUUUGGUAGACUGCUGGAUCUCAUUCACAACUGCUUGAUUUUACUUACGAAUUUGUAAGAUUGCUAUCAUAGUUGCAUUCUAUCUUUAACAUAGAGUGGCUUCACAAAAUUAAACGGGACAUUUUCCAUCUUUUUCUAUGAGCUACAAUAAUUUAAAUAUCAUAGAAAUGAUCUAUCCCUUAAAGGUUAGGUAGAACUUAGUGUGAAAACAUCCACUUCUGGUAUCUUUUUUAAAGUAGAUAUUAGUUUACCUUUCUAAUUUUUCCACAGUAAUACACUUGCAACAACAUGUAUGAAUUAUUUUUGUAAUCUGAAAGCCAUCAAAAGAGGAAAAGAAAAUCAUAAGGCAGAAAGUAAAACUAGUCAGUGGUUAUUAUUAACAUUUUAAAAUAUAUGCUUCUGGUCUUUUCUCUAUGAAAGCUUUUCAGAUACUUACCGAUAGUAGUUGGUUGUCCCUCUCGUGGCAUUAGUAGCCACUGGUGAUCAUUGCCUGGAUGUAUUAAUUCAUUAGGGGUUACAAAGUGGUGACAUCAUCAUUCUAUCGUUUCUUCUUUAUUUAUUACCUGGACUACUUCUAUAAAAAGAAACUUCUCAAUUUGAU